rnacentral:tRNA from 2 species
GCCCCUGUGACGAAAUUUGGUAAACGUCGCCGACUCAGACUCGGUGUUUUGCAGGUUCGAGUCCUGCCAGGGGUA